AUUGAACGCUGGCGGCAUGCUCUACACAUGCAAGUCGAACGGUAACAGGCCGCAAGGUGCUGACGAGUGGCGAACGGGUGAGUAAUGCAUCGGAACGUGCCCAGUCGUGGGGGAUAACUACUCGAAAGAGUAGCUAAUACCGCAUACGAUCUAUGGAUGAAAGCGGGGGACCGUAAGGCCUCGCGCGAUUGGAGCGGCCGAUGUCAGAUUAGGUAGUUGGUGGGGUAAAGGCUCACCAAGCCAACGAUCUGCAGCUGGUCUGAGAGGACGACCAGCCACACUGGGACUGAGACACGGCCCAGACUCCUACGGGAGGCAGCAGUGGGGAAUUUUGGACAAUGGGCGCAAGCCUGAUCCAGCAAUGCCGCGUGCAGGAAGAAGGCCUUCGGGUUGUAAACUGCUUUUGUACGGAACGAAACGGCUCUGGUUAAUACCCGGGGCUAAUGACGGUACCGUAAGAAUAAGCACCGGCUAACUACGUG
rnacentral:rRNA from 1 species